rnacentral:SRP_RNA from 1 species
CAUGUCAGGUCCGGAAGGAAGCAGCAUUAAGCAGUGCUUCUCAUGUGCCGCGAGGUCGCCUGGCCCGAGCUAACUAUCAGGGUAACGCAGAUGAUUGCAUGUCGAUGUGAGGUGCGCGA